GGGAUCCCACCCCACCUGCUGCCCAUGGCAGAGGCUCCAUUUAAACUCAGGUGUGCAGCCCCCCAUCUUUAGCAGGCUGUGCUGUAAGCCUGUCUCUUCCUUGUCUUGCUCUCUGCUGUUCAUUGCUUGGGGUGUUAGUUGAGUAUCUGAUAACUGCCAAAACAGAAGGUACGAAAUGUGGAGAUGCAUGCUCUGUCUGGAAGGCUUCAAAAGACCAGUUCCUGGGUUCUGCCACUACCCUAGAGAAAUGCCUGUGUACUUAUUCGCUCUUGGAAACAACAAAUUGCUGUCUGAAGCCAAGGGAGUCCCUGCCUCUGUCUGCUACAGUACCAUAUCUCUUGCAUUGAAGAAAAAUCUUCAUCCACUGUGAAGCCAUGUUGUGCAGCUCCCAUAGACUUGCCCUGACCAUUGAAUUGUGUUAUUUUAAUGAUGCUGUAGUAUCUCCAAAGGCCUAUUUAAAUCCAUUUACCUGUUAGGCUGAAUUUUGGGGGGAGACUGCAAAUAUAUGGGGGAGGGUGGGAUCUGAAGUCUACACAAGACUGAGAAGCAAGAUCUUUUUUCCCUAAUCAAAUGCAUGUGAUGCAGUCGUUUAGAAGGAAUCAGGAACUGCACUGUCUGCAGAUGAAUGUAUGUGCGGCCGGACACGAUGGAUGACAAAGUUUACAUUGAAUUUGUGUUGUGUGCUUUAGAGAAUAUAUCUAUCUGAAAUGUAAAUACUAGAGAAUUCAGAUAUUUGCUCUCUACAAGCAGAUUUUGUGUAAAAACAAAGAAAUCAACUUGAAGUAAUGUUGCAAGUGAUCAAUUAUCAACUGCUGUAUGCAGAUCAUGUCCUGGUUGUGAAGCAGUACUCUUAAUUCUUCCUCGGAAUAGUUUUUUAAGAAGAAAGCCACCCGAUAAGGUGUGUACAUGUUUUACAGUACAUAUUUGCUGUUAAUUCUGAUUUGUAUAUUGUGUAAUAUACAUGGUUUUCUUUUCAAGAGGAUUAUUUUUGUGGCUUCAGGGUACUUAGACAAAGUCAGCUUUUUCGAGGAAGUGCGAUAACAUGUAUGAAAGGGAAAUAAAGGCAACAUCAGCAAAUGAGUUUGCUGCUCGGUCCUUUUGAAGAGUGUUUCAUGUUCUUGUCUUGAGAAGAAUUUCAUUGUUACCCAGAGAAGGUUCAAUUAUGAGAAAAGAGCAGAUGGUCUCCAAGAAACUUUGUGCUGUGGAUUGAAGACGAGAAUUUUCAGUCAGUAUGGGGUGUUUUUUGCUAGUCUCACUGGGCCUCUGAUUGCAAAAUUAGCAAAAUUGUUUGAAAUAUGUUGUGUCCUUAUUAUUUCCGGUGCUUUUUGUUAGAAUAGCAGAUGCCAGUGGUGACAAUAAUUGAAGGAAGAAUUAAUCUUUCAGCAGACACUUUGAUUUGGUCAAAAAGUACUUGAAAGUUUUCUAAAACAUUUUUUUUUUACCUUUCAUCAAAGAAAAGUAAUCUUAUUCAUGUUUUGCAAAUUGGACUAAUUUCAUUGACUUUUCUGGUGAGAAUACAGGGACCUUUUGAACUGGAUUUUGAGGGAUUCCAAACUUUCCACUUGUUUGCAGAAUGUCUGAAAGCUAAUUCUUGCUUCAGCAUUUUUAUCUCUUUCUUAAAUGGACAUUGCAGAUGUGUCCAUUUUGAGGCGACUUUUGGAGUAGACUUUCUUGUAAUGAAAAUUUCAUUGUCUUGUUUUUCUUUGGAAUUUUUAGAACUCCCCAGACAAUUUUGCACAGGAAAAGAGUAUCUGAUUUAUAACUAGCCAUCUUAUUUUUUUAUUUUUAACUUCUUAACUGUCUUCUCAGCAUUACCUUUCAAGUGAAUAUAUGCUUCAAUUGCAGAAAGAAAUAAAAUCAGUACUUUAUGGGGAAAAUGAAUUCCUACUUUUUCUGCCUUCUUAGACAGAACUGAAGUAUUUUAUGGCGUGGGCUUUUAGGGUUUACUCUCUCCAUUUUUUAAACUUUUUA